AGAGAGUUGACAGAGUGGUCGAAUGUACCGGUCUUGAAAACCGGCGUACCGCAAGGUACCGAGGGUUCGAAUCCCUCACUCUCUG
rnacentral:tRNA from 1 species